AAAAUGCUGCUCGGCAGCGUGUAAGAAAGAGAGGAGUGAGGAAAAGGUGUGAGAAACAGCUGGCUGGGCAGGAAGAGAUGCACUAGCCACAGAGUGAGGUCCCCUGCAGUCUGUAGAGGAGAGUGUUGUGCAGGAGUUUUUGGUGUAACCUGUGCAGAGAAUCACACCAGUCCAGAUGACAACACUGCAACCUGUUUAGAACCCAACAGUGGCUGCUGGAUAUGUCUUAACAAAGCCUGCAGCUUCCAAAGACCCCAUGCUGUAACAGGUUUGGCCUGAAGAAUUGCAGUGAUGGAUACAAUCCUUGCUGGGGCAUGUGAAAGCAUGAGGAAGGAGUGGCAGAAUUAAAGUGUUAGACCGUAGUCCUCUUUCCCAAUCCUCCUGUGCUUCUCUUGUUUCUCACCAUCCAACUCUACUUUGCAGUAAUUUAAGUCAGUUUUCCCUAAAUCAAAUCUGAUCGACCACACUGGCAGUAGGCAACUAGAUCUAACAGGAUCAUCUGAUCAGCUGUACUUUUUUAUAACGUGGAACUGCAUGGAGAGCUUCAAGAGUCCCACCGUGUGCCCGAGGGCAUUAUCCAAACACUUCUUGAACUCUGUCAGGUGUGGUGUUGUGACUGCUUCC